GCUUGCUCCCGGAUGUUAGCGGCGGACGGGAAGAGUAACACGUGGGUAACCUGCCUGUAAGACUGGGAUAACUCCGGGAAACCGGAGCUAAUACCGGAUAGUUCCUUGAACCGCAUGGUUCAAGGAUGAAAGACGGUUUCGGCUGUCACUUACAGAUGGACCCGCGGCGCAUUAGCUAGUUGGUGGGGUAAUGGCUCACCAAGGCGACGAUGCGUAGCCGACCUGAGAGGGUGAUCGGCCACACUGGGACUGAGACACGGCCCAGACUCCUACGGGAGGCAGCAGUAGGGAAUCUUCCGCAAUGGACGAAAGUCUGACGGAGCAACGCCGCGUGAGUGAUGAAGGUUUUCGGAUCGUAAAGCUCUGUUGUUAGGGAAGAACAAGUGCGAGAGUAACUGCUCGCACCUUGACGGUACCUAACCAGAAAGCCACGGCUAACUACGUGCCAGCAGCCGCGGUAAUACGUAGGUGGCAAGCGUUGUCCGGAAUUAUUGGGCGUAAAGGGCUCGCAGGCGGUUUCUUAAGUCUGAUGUGAAAGCCCCCGGCUCAACCGGGGAGGGUCAUUGGAAACUGGGAAACUUGAGUGCAGAAGAGGAGAGUGGAAUUCCACGUGUAGCGGUGAAAUGCGUAGAGAUGUGGAGGAACACCAGUGGCGAAGGCGACUCUCUGGUCUGUAACUGACGCUGAGGAGCGAAAGCGUGGGGAGCGAACAGGAUUAGAUACCCUGGUAGUCCACGCCGUAAACGAUGAGUGCUAAGUGUUAGGGGGUUUCCGCCCCUUAGUGCUGCAGCUAACGCAUUAAGCACUCCGCCUGGGGAGUACGGUCGCAAGACUGAAACUCAAAGGAAUUGACGGGGGCCCGCACAAGCGGUGGAGCAUGUGGUUUAAUUCGAAGCAACGCGAAGAACCUUACCAGGUCUUGACAUCCUCUGACAACCCUAGAGAUAGGGCUUUCCCUUCGGGGACAGAAUGACAGGUGGUGCAUGGUUGUCGUCACCUCGUGUCGUGAGAUGUUGGGUUAA
rnacentral:rRNA from 1 species